rnacentral:rRNA from 1 species
GGAUGCGAUCAUACCAGCACUAAAGCACCGGAUCCCAUCAGAACUGCAAAGUUAAGCAUGCUUGGGCGAGAGUAGUACUAGGAUGGGUGACCACUUGGGAAGUACUCGUGUUGCAUUCC